UACGAGGGGAGCUAGCGUUGUUCGGAAUUACUGGGCGUAAAGGGCGUGUAGGCGGUACCAUAAGUCAGAUGUGAAAGCCCUAGGCUUAACCUAGGAGGUGCAUUUGAUACUGUGGAACUAGAGAUCGAGAGAGGAAAGUGGAAUUACGAGUGUAGAGGUGAAAUUCGUAGAUAUUCGUAAGAACACCAGUGGCGAAGGCGACUUUCUGGCUCGAUACUGACGCUAAGGCGCGAAAGCGUGGGGAGCAAACAGG
rnacentral:rRNA from 2 species